UAUUUUUAAAAAAAUGAGAGCUAUUGCAACGGUAUGUGUUGUAUUAUGAAAAAUUUAGAAGCGCGCAUUUCUUCCCUCUAUUUUUUUCACCAAAUAUUUGAACAAUACUUGUCUUUAAUUUGCUUCCCUCUAUUCACAAUUGUCAAGUACAGUACCAUUUUCCCCCUUUUCUCCAAUUUUCCCCAUUCUCACCUUAAUUGAUUAUAGAGGACCAUUUUCACAGUACCAUUUUUCCAACUUCUACAUUUUCUCAUCUUCUCAGAUCUCAUAUUUUCACAGUAGAUGAGAAGGAGUACGUUUUUGUUGUAGUUGUUGCAUCUGAUUUAAAACCCAGACCUCAAAACUACCAACAAUGGCGCAACCACCGCACUCAUAUACCGAACUCUUCUGCGACCCAAUCUACGAUUUAACCCCUUUAUGGUUCAAGAACAACCUCUUUCUCCCUCCUUUCGACUCCGAAUCCUACAUCUCUAACCUUCAAACCCAGUCCUCUCUCGCUGCACUCAAUUAAUCUCAAGUUACUGGUAUGUAUUUUGAAACAAUUAAAUUUAUUAUAGUAUAAUUUGUUGAAAAUGGCUCUAUUUAGUUGUUAAAUGCUAUAAUUUCUCAAAAAUUAAGCUACUAUUUUUUUAAUUAGGGUUUUCGUAAGUAAUUGCUUUUAUAAUUCUGAUGUCAUCAAUUUUGUUAAAUUAAUUUUGCAUUUUUGCUGGUUUGAUUGAGAGAAAGAGAACGAUUAAGGUGAGCAAUCUUCUUAAUACUCUUUCUGUUCUACAGUCUUACCGUAGUACUACAUUUUUUUUUCUUAUUUAUGGUUUCCUUGCGUUUUGUUUAAAUUUUUGUGUUUUCAAUUUUUCUUUUUCUGCUCAAUUUUUUUAUUCUUUACUAUUCAAUUGAUCUAAAUGUAUUGGCUGACGAGAUCAUUGAAUUGUUUGUGAGCUAAUUGCAGCACACCAUCCCAUUAUUGAGUCUUCAGAAGCAGGUGCAUGAGCAGUUGGUAUGCUUGAACCUACAUGUUCUGCUUUUUGGCUAAUACCUUGUAGUUUUUUUCGUAGUAUCCUUUUUAACUUUAAUUGUUUAGUGUAUGUUUGGCUUUAGGCUGUACUAGUUCUGUGGCUUUCUUUUUGGUGAAUGUUUUAUUUCACAGCAUGCAUAUUAUCUUAUGAUUACCGAUCUUCCACUGCUCUCCUUCUAAACACUUCCCUCUUUCAAACAAAAAAUGAAAUAGAGGGUCGUAAUUGCUUGAAAACCAAACCCGAUUUCCUCGGCUUUUUGUAAUUCCUCUUUUUUUCACCCUUUGAUUUGGAUAAUGAAGAGUCAAUGAUAGAUUGAUAGUAGUCUUAGUGGAUUCUUGAUUUUUCUCUUCAAUGUAAAUUAAGGCAACGACACUUGGGCGAUAUCAAUGUCUCAUGCUUUGGUGUGUCAACCGGAUUUAUGGAAGUUGUUCACUAGGGCAGUGAUGUAUCAUACUAUAACAUUUUUGCCUAACUUACUUUGCCUAUUUAAAAUGUAGAAUAACAUGCUCAGAAAUACAACAAGGUUCAGUACACUUGUUGAAUUGGUCCCCGUAAAACUAUGAGGCUAGGGCGGGAUGAAAAUUAGAGGUAAAUUUAGGUGCAUGGAUGCAAACUAGUGUCAAGUAAAUCUAAUAAGUCAUAAAAAUAAUAUGCCAAGAAUUUGGGCAUUUUAAUAUGAACAUCUUGCAUUCUUGUCAAACUUUUGGGACGGUAGGUAGAGGCAAAAAAAAAUCUCCUGGUAAACCGCAUGCUCAAAAGGUAUUGUAUAUAUUAGGCCCAGCUUUUUAGUUGAGGUUUCUAAUCUUACUUAAACAAGUAGUAUAUCAUAUCGAUGAAUAUUUCAUGGUUUUUUUUUUUUCUGUAAGUUCAUGAGCUCAUCAGAACACUUAGUCUUACAUAGUUCAAUAUACUGUCAUGUAUGAACUUGUGUCAGAAUGUUGGAAAAAGAUAUUAUACGUCCUGUUUUUAUGCCUAGUUGGUAUUUUAACUUGUCAUGGCUGUCGUUUGAGAAGAAAUGGAGAAUGUAACAUUCAUAUAGAGAUUCAAAGUCUUAGAAGAGGACUGUAAAUAUGCCUGAUUUUAUUUUUGCUAUGCAAAUUGUUUAUGUGCUUAUUGCCUUGGGUAUAUUUGUCUUCUAUUUUCAGAAUAAGAAUUGGUUUUCUGAUAUUAUUAAUUGCAGGAGGCUCCAAAAUUCUGCCAUAUGUGGACACUGAUCUGAAGAAAAUAGCUGCUAGGGUCAUAGAGAAGGCUAAAGAGUUGUGCUACUCUAAAUCGAAGGAAACUUGGAGAGGUCUUAUCAGCGUUUGAGUUCUUGGAUAGUCAUGCAAUGGACGCGGAUAUUGUUAUAAAUAAUGAUUAGUAAUUCAUAGAUCUGAAAUUGGAUGAUGGUUAUGUAUCCAGAGAGAGGUUUGAGACGUUCUUGUUUGGCUUGAUGGAAAGUGGUUUAAUAUUAGAUGGUGUGGUUGCACAAGACAUAAAUCAAGUAUCUUCAUUUUGGCGUAUUCGUGAGGUGCAUGAGGAGUUAAAUGCAGCGGAAGAAUAGUGACUAGUCAUCUAACAAAUGGUGCAUAUUAUGUUGGCGACUCUUAUUCAAGUUCCGGCUUUGUGAAGAUUUGACAAUUUCGGCUUAUUGGACGAUUAAAUUCCUUAUAUAACUUUUUUUUUAAUUAGUAGGGUAUGUCAUACCAAAAACAAGCGAGUAAUAUUUUGUAAUGUACGUAUUUCGCAUUAUAAUUAUUAUAUAUAAAUGAUACUUUAUUUUGUUUUUUGUUAGUAUAUUUAGAUUUGUACUAACUAAUUAUACAUAUAUUAUAUUACCAUUCCAUCCCAACA